rnacentral:rRNA from 1 species
AUACGUAGGGGGCGAGCGUUGUCCGGAAUGAUUGGGCGUAAAGGGCGCGUAGGCGGCCCGGUAAGUCUGGAGUGAAAGUCCUGUUUUUAAGAUGGGAAUUGCUUUGGAUACUGUCGGGCUUGAGUGCAGGAGAGGAAAGUGGAAUUCCCAGUGUAGCGGUGAAAUGCGUAGAGAUUGGGAGGAACACCAGUGGCGAAGGCGACUUACUGGACUGUAACUGACGCUGAGGCGCGAAAGUGUGGGGAGCAAACAGGAUUAGAUACCCUGGUAGUCCACACUGUAAACGAUGAAUGCUAGGUGUAGGGGGUAUCGACCCCUUCUGUGCCGCAGUCAACACAAUAAGCAUUCCGCCUGGGGAGUACGGCCGCAAGGUUGAAACUCAAAUGAAUUGACGGGG